rnacentral:rRNA from 1 species
GUGGAUUAGAUACCCGGGUAGUCCACGCCGUAAACGAUGAGUGCUAGGUGCUGCGGGUAUUGACCCCUGCGGUGCCGUAGCUAACGCGUUAAGCACUCCGCCUGGGGAGUACGGCCGCAAGGCUAAAACUCAAAGGAAUUGACGGGGGCCCGCACAAGCGGUGGAGCAUGUGGUUCAAUUCGACGCAACGCGCAGAACCUUACCUGGGUUAAAUCCACUCGAAGUUGGUAGAGAUACCGAUGUGCCUUUCGGGGAGCGAGUGAGAAGGUGCUGCAUGGUCGUCGCCAGCU